rnacentral:rRNA from 1 species
GAUGAACGCUGGCGGCGUGCCUAAUACAUGCAAGUCGAGCGAACGGACGAGAAGCUUGCUUCUCUGAUGUUAGCGGCGGACGGGUGAGUAACACGUGGAUAACCUACCUAUAAGACUGGGAUAACUUCGGGACACCGGAGCUAAUACCGGAUAAUAUUUUGAACCGCAUGGUUCAAAAGUGAAAGACGGUCUUGCUGUCACUUAUAGAUGGAUCCGCGCUGCAUUAGCUAGUUGGUAGGGUAACGGCUUACCAAGGCAACGAUGCAUAGCCGACCUGAUAGGGGGUUGGCCCCCUGAGGAGGUGAGACGCGGCCCUGGGUCCGAGGGGAGGCAGCGGUAGGGAAUGGACGGCGAUGGGCGGAAGCCUGACGGAGCAACGCAGCGUGAGUGAAGAAGCGCUUCGGAUCGUAAAACUCUGUUAUGAGGGAAGAACACAUGUGUAUGUAACGGUGCGCAUCUGGCGGUAACCGAAUCAGAAGGCCACGCCUAACUAGGU